rnacentral:rRNA from 1 species
GCUUGGAACUAAGCAUAUCAAUAAGCGGAGGAAAAGAAACUAACAAGGAUUCCCCUAGUAACUGCGAGUGAAGCGGGAAAAGCUCAAAUUUAAAAUCUGGUGGCCUUUGUCCAUCCGAGUUGUAAUUUAGAGAAGCGUCUUCCGCGCUGGACCGUGCACAAGUCUCCUGGAAUGGAGCGUCAUAGAGGGUGAGAAUCCCGUCUUUGGCACGGACGCACCAGGGCUUUUGUGAUGUGCUCUCGAAGAGUCGAGUUGUUUGGGAAUGCAGCUCAAAAUGGGUGGUGAACUCCAUCUAAAGCUAAAUAUUGGCGAGAGACCGAUAGCGAACAAGUACCGUGAGGGAAAGAUGAAAAGCACUUUGGAAAGAGAGUGAAACAGUACGUGAAAUUGUUGAAAGGGAAACGCUUGAAGUCAGUCGCGUCGCCCGAGACUCAACCUCGCCUCGGCUUGGUGUACUUCUCGGCUGACGGGUCAGCAUCAAUUUUGCCCCUUGGAUAAUGGCGAGGGAAAUGUGACACCUUUAUAGGUGUGUUAUAGUCUCUAGUCGCAUGCAAGGGUCGGGAUUGAGGAACUCAGCACGCGCCUUUUGGGUGUCGGGGCGUUUCGCCCACGAUACGUGCUUAGGAUGUUGGCGUAAUGGCUUUAAACGACCCGUCUUGAAACACGGACCAAGGAGUCUAACAUGCCCGCGAGUGUUCGGGUGGAAAACCCGUGCGCGCAAUGAAAGUGAAAGUUGGGACCUCUGUCGUGGAGGGCACCAACGCCCGGACCAGACCUUCUGUGACGGAUCUGCGGUAGAGCGUGUAUGUUAGGACCCGAAAGAUGGUGAACUAUGCCUGAAUAGGGUGAAGCCAGAGGAAACUCUGGUGGAGGCUCGUAGCGAUUCUGACGUGCAAAUCGAUCGUCAAAUUUGGGUAUAGGGGCGAAAGACUAAUCGAACCAUCUAGUAGCUGGUUCCUGCCGAUUUCCCUUC